UGCAGCAUUACCAAGAGACUGAGCAGAGUUGUAUCAGAGUCACCUCUUUCAUCUGCAAAGGGUGCUUUGUGCGGUCGUGGACAGGAAAGGGAAAUCCUCGUGUCGCGGAGCAGUGAGGGAGGUAGAGCGUAAACCUUUGGAGGAAGCUGUCACAGGAAAGAGCUCCUUCUGGAACUGUUCAGCACUCGGGAGGCAACUGGGUGACUGGCUUGAUCUACUUCUGAGGUGCUGAGGCAAGGAGGCUGCUGUUUUGAAACGAUAGUAUUCUGAAACACAGUGUACGACACGGGACUUGACGACCAGAGCUGCUUUUGGCAAGGUGAGUGAUGAACAGAUAUAGAAGGUAAUUUAGGGGUGCAGUUGUCACUGCAGUUACUGAACUACACAAAGUACAGUAAAAAUCCUGUUUAUAUUUCAGGGGUGUUGUAGCUGGCCUAAGAGAGCAGAUGGAA